UAUGGCAAAUGAUGAAUAUAUCUUAUCCUACACACUGAUUAACCGUGUUGAUUACAACUCCGCUUAUUGUCUGAUGCCAUU